rnacentral:lncRNA from 1 species
GGCAAUGCGCGUCCCUUAUCUCUUAAACGGUCUGAUCCUUCUCCACUUGAGUAACUCUUCCAUAGUUACCGUUUCACUUGUGCAAGGUAAGUUUAGGUUGCGGCUUGGAUGGUACGGACUGUACGGCUUGUACGGCCUUGUACGGACGUCCGUACCAUGCUCUCCCUAAACUCCCUUAAGCUUCCUCAUCUCCUUUCCUCUUCAACUCCUUAGCUCUUCAUACAUAUACUCAGCUCAACUCAACACUCCCCCUCAAGCUUAGCUUUGUGAAAGCUUAAGC